UACGAAGGGGGCUAGCGUUGUUCGGAAUUACUGGGCGUAAAGGGCGCGUAGGCGGCCUGGCAAGUGACGGGUGAAAGCCCUCGGCUUAACCGAGGAACUGCCUGUCAGACUGUUAGGCUUGAGACCGGGAGAGGUGAGUGGAAUUCCCAGUGUAGCGGUGAAAUGCGUAGAUAUUGGGAGGAACACCAGUGGCGAAGGCGGCUCACUGGACCGGUACUGACGCUGAGGCGCGAAAGCGUGGGGAGCAAACAGG
rnacentral:rRNA from 1 species